UACGGGAGGCAGCAGUGGGGAAUAUUGCACAAUGGGCGCAAGCCUGAUGCAGCCAUGCCGCGUGUAUGAAAAAGGCCUUCGGGUUGUAAAGUACUUUCAGUCGUGAGGAAGGUGUUAAGGUUAAUAACCUUAGCAAUUGACGUUAGCGACAGAAGAAGCACCGGCUAACUCCGUGCCAGCAGCCGCGGUAAUACGGAGGGUGCGAGCGUUAAUCGGAAUUACUGGGCGUAAAGGGCACGCAGGCGGUUAAUUAAGUUGGAUGUGAAAUCCCCGGGCUUAACCUGGGAAUGGCAUUCAAGACUGGUUAGCUAGAGUCUUGUAGAGGGGGUAGAAUUCCAUGUGUAGCGGUGAAAUGCGUAGAGAUGUGGAGGAAUACCGGUGGCGAAGGCGGCCCCUGGGACAAAGGCUGACGCUCAUGUGCGAAAGCGUGGAGAGCAAACAGGGAUUAGAUACC
rnacentral:rRNA from 1 species